AUUAUUUUAUCCUAGGAUUUAAGAAUUUUUAAUGCAUAAAGGAAAAUAAAAUACACCUAAUAAAAUUUGUUUCACUAAAUUUGGACAAUUCUAUAAAUUAUAAUGAAUUAAAUACGAAAAUAGGAAUUUAAAUCUAUUUUCUAAAUCUAAAAACCAACAUUAUCCUGAAAAUCCCCUUUCCAGACAUCUCCUACGCGCCCCUAACCUAACCCCCCC
rnacentral:lncRNA from 1 species